CCUACGGGAGGCUGCAGUGAGGAAUAUUGGUCAAUGGACGAGAGUCUGAACCAGCCAAGUAGCGUGAAGGAUGACUGCCCUAUGGGUUGUAAACUUCUUUUAUAAAGGAAUAAAACGAGGCACGUGUGCCUUUUUGCAUGUACUUUAUGAAUAAGGAUCGGCUAACUCCGUGCCAGCAGCCGCGGUAAUACGGAGGAUCCGAGCGUUAUCCGGAUUUAUUGGGUUUAAAGGGAGCGUAGAUGGGUUGUUAAGUCAGUUGUGAAAGUUUGCGGCUCAACCGUAAAAUUGCAAUUGAUACUGGCAGUCUUGAGUACAGUUGAGGUAGGCGGAAUUCGUGGUGUAGCGGUGGAAUGCUUAGAUAUCACGAAGAACCCCGAUUGCGAAGGCAGCUUACUAAACUGUGACUGACAUUGAUGCUCGAAAGUGUGGGUAUCAAACAGGAUUAGAUACCCUAGUAGUC
rnacentral:rRNA from 1 species